rnacentral:rRNA from 1 species
GGGGAAUUUUCCGCAAUGGGCGCAAGCCUGACGGAGCAACGCCGCGAGAGGGAGGAAGGCCUGUGGGUUGUAAACCUCUUUUCUCAAGGAAGAACACAAUGACGGUACUUGAGGAAUCAGCAUCGGCUAACUCCGUGCCAGCAGCCGCGGUAAGACGGAGGAUGCAAGCGUUAUCCGGAAUUAUUGGGCGUAAAGCGUCCGUAGGUGGUUAUAAAAGUCUGUUGUUAAAGCCCACAGCUCAACUGUGGAUCGGCAAUGGAAACUGUAUGACUUGAGUGUGGUAGGGGUAGAGGGAAUUCCUAGUGUAGCGGUGAAAUGCGUAGAUAUUAGGAAGAACACCAGUGGCGAAGGCGCUCUACUGGGCCAUAACUGACACUGAUGGACGAAAGCUAGGGGAGCGAAAGGGAUUAGAUACCCCAGUAGUC